ensembl:lncRNA
UUACUUUUUCAUUGCGUGUUAAUCUUUUAGUGUCUACAAGCUCAAUAUCAGAGGUCGCUAGCAGUGUGUAAAAACACACUGGUAGCUGUUUUCUGGGUAGCAAUACCAUCACCGGAAUCUAAUAACAAGAGGUCAUAUGGCCAAAAAAAUUGUUUAUUUGUUGCAGUUACAUACAACGAAAGGUGUUAGUUCCACACACUAAACGGUGUCCAUUCACCCACACAGACACACACACCUGAUACAGCAAACCAUAUCGAGGGACAGUCGCUGCAAACAUGCAAGUUAUUAAUGUCUGAAUGUCGAUUAGUGGUACAUUGUAAAUCACACAAAUGUAAUUUCUCAACUAUCUAAAAGAAACACACACACACACACACACACGACACAGCGAGCCUUAUCCAGGAACAGUCACUGUAAACAUACAAGUUAUUAAUGUCUGAAUGUCUUAGCGAUACAUAUACAACUACCACAUACUAAAAGGGGAGAAUAGAUGUGAGAAUAAAAACAGAUGUUAUGCUGUACUAAAACUGAAAAAGGCAUACAGUGUGUUUAUAGCUAGUAUAAGGCAUAUGAACACCGGUAUACAAAUGAUAUUUUAUUCUAAGCCACACACGGGCAUACCACACAUAGUGGUAAGGGAUGAAGAAGCAGUUACUACGCUGACAUUUAAAAACACACAUUCUUUUUUUUUUUAAAAAAGGAUAUAACAAUGAAUAUUAUGCUAGAUAUUAAAGAAACACACAGUGUGUUUUAAAGGAAAACAAGCAUCUACUACACAUGGGUGUCACAAAGGCAUUCUCUGUCCCACAACAAGCUACUGAACUAUCUAAAAAAAACACACACACACACACACACACACACACACACGACACAGCGAGCCUUAUCCAGGAACAGUCACUGUAAACAUACAAGUUAUUAAUGUCUGAAUGUCUUAGCGAUACAUAUACAACUACCACAUACUAAAAGGGGAGAAUAGAUGUGAGAAUAAAAACAUAUGUUAUGCUGUACUAAAACUGAAAAAGGCAUACAGUGUGUUUAUAGCUAGUAUAAGGCAUAUGAACAACGGUAUACAAGUGAUAUUUUAUUCUAAGCCUAACACGGGCAUACCACACAUAGUGGUAAGGGAUGAAGAAGCAGUUACUACGCUGACAUUUAAAAACACACAUUCUUUUUUUUUAAAAAAAAGGAUAUAACAAUGAAUAUUAUGCUAGAUAUUAAAGAAACACACAGUGUGUUUUAAAGGAAAACAAGCAUCUACUACACAUGGGUGUCACAAAGGCAUUCUCUGUCCCACAACAAGCUGCACCUAGGUGCAUCACACACUGAACCCUAGCCAAGUCCCCGUAAAUCCCUGAAACACACCCUGGUGAUCCACACACUCUGAUGUCUUCGCAAGAUGAGGAGCUUUCAGUCAGGAAUCAGUCUAGUAGAAUGUCCUUUCCUCUAUUCAGAGAGUUGGUAUAUUACAAUGUCAACCAGCAGCCGGUGAUGUAAAUGGCUGUCCAACUGCACCUCUUCAUUGUCCGUUGACGAGUAGAUGAUAGUGGGAUGAUAAUUAUUUGUCCAUGUCCAAUGAGUGGUUGUCCAGUGAAUACGUACCAGUGUAAUGUUCAGUCCUUUUGUUUCCACCAACAACGGGCCAAUUCAGAGAUGAUACAGGCCAUGGGUAUAUUCAUCGUCCCUAGGAAGAUGACACCGGGUUUGUGAUCUCAGGUGCGAGAUACACAAUUCAUCUCAGGCACCGCAUGGCACACAUGUCAAGUCACCAUGUUGUACACGACAUAGGAAAGAAUGUGAGGCUGAGUUUUCACAGAUGACUAUAUAUGUGUGUGUGCUACCAGCUGGCAUCCACACUGUCUCAGAGCAGAAAGCGUCCAUCUUCUGAGUUAGCCCGAUUCACAACAGGAAAAUACCGUGUCAGCUCAGGGAAAUACCAUCUCAGAUCAGGGAACGUCCUUCUCACAAGAUGGGCCGACUCAGAAAAGUGGAAUCCAUAACAGAACAUGUCGAUCCUGAGCAAGAAAGUCCCGUCGCAAAUAUACUUUGUCUGUUACACUUUGAGAGAAUAUUCAUAGUAGACACAUAAUCCCACGGUGAAAAGCAAACCACCACAUUGUAGUCUUGAUGAUAGCGCACACUCUCUGUCAUGUUAGCAUUCAG